rnacentral:rRNA from 1 species
UACGGGGGGGGUAAGCGUUGUUCGGAAUUACUGGGCGUAAAGGGCUCGUAGGCGGCCAACUAAGUCAUACGUGAAAUCCCUCAGCUUAACUGGGGAACUGCGUGUGAUACUGGAUGGCUUGGAUUUGGGAGAGGGAUGCGGAAUUCCAGGUGUAGCGGUGAAAUGCGUAGAUAUCUGGAGGAACACCGGCGGCGAAGGCGGCAUCCUGGACCAAUAUUGACGCUGAGGAGCGAAAGCCAGGGGAGCAAACAGG